rnacentral:ncRNA from 1 species
CAAAUUUAUCCUUGAAUCGCUCUUCCUUCUAGUGUAAUUUUACUAGCUUUUAGUUCCCUCCUACAAAUUUAUCCUGAAUCGCCCGUAUAUGAAGAGUUUAAUUAAGGCUUGGUUCCUUGUGUAGUUUUAGGUUUUUAUAUGCUUUUUGAGAGAUUGAAUAGUAGAAGUUGAGUUUAUUAGUUAAUAGGCUUAUAUGUAGACUAAAAUUUAAGUAGGUAGCGAAGUGCGUGCCAGCCGCUGCGGUUAGACGUAAAGCUAUAAACAAGGUUGUUUUAGAAGGUUUUAACACGUCUAUGGUUAGAUAGUUGUAGUAUACUAAACGGUGGAAUGUUGAGUUAUCUACUUAAUCUUUUGAGAGUUGAAAUGAAGGUUAGUUUAAGGAAUAGGAUUAGAUACCCUAUUACUCUAAUAUGUUAAGUUUUUGAGGAGUAGAUUUAAAAUUAAAGAAUUUGGCGGUGUUUUAUCCUAAUAGAGGAAUUUGUUCUGUAAUCGAUAGUCCCCGUUAUAUCUAACCUUAUUUAAAGUUUAUAUACCGUUGUUAUCAGAAUACCUUGCAGAUGGGCUAUUAGUUUUCUUAAUAGGAUGUUUCUAUGAUUUCAAAUCAAGGUGUAGUAGAUAGUAAGGGUUGAAAUGAGUUACAUUUGGUAGGAAGAUGACUUUCCAGGGGAAGGCUUGGUUAGUAUUAGGAUUUAUGAGUAAGUUGUUAUUAAUAUGGGUAGCUGAAAAGGGGUCUAAAACAUGUACAUAUCGCCCGUCACUCCAAUUUUAAUAUUGGAUAAGUCGUAACAAAGUAGAUGUAAGGGAACUUGCCUCUAGAUGUUG